UCGGGUGUGGUGCAUGGUGCACAUCAGCUGCCAGUGACUAGGCUUUCUACCAGAGCUCAUGCUGGAGACUGGGGUUCGACUCCCCGUGCUCGAA